GUUUGGAUGAAGCCUUGGUGCUACACAGUGGUGGUGAAGGAUCUUCUCUAGAAGGCCCAGCAGUUCCACCGAUGGCAAACCCAAGUUAAUGCUCCCUUCUGGUCCCUCGUGGUCCCCAGCAUGCGGUGUUUGCUGGAUCCCAGACUGCUCAAGUGGGAGCUGAGAGGAAGACUGAGCACCUUGUCAAUGGGCACUUCUUCCAGGAAGGAGGAGAACCAUGAGCCUUUUCCACAAUGCCUGCUUGCAGAACUGGGACUGUCUCCAGGGCGGGUGGCAGCAUCCCAGGGCCUGGAGCAGCAAGCAUCAGGAGCCCAAACGCCUGCUCAAAAAGGAGAAAAGCCCCAGAGGUGGACCCUGGUAUGUGGAAUAUCAACCUCUGCCCCUGGAGGAGCUGUGGAUGGAGCUGGGAUCUGGAGGAAGGAGAAGGCAAUGGACCACAUGGCUAUUUGGUGUGGGGAGAAGGAUGCAGCAGAGCUUGGAAACUCCUCCAAACCACCUAUCACACCUGAGAAUGUCAAGGGAGUAGAAAACAGGUCUUAUGGGAGGAGGUUUCUCUGCACUUGGAGCAACAUCAUGAGGGUGACCAUCAUCCUGCAUGCUGGGCAAGCUGGUGUCUCUGUAUGGACCCUUAUCCUCAUGGACUUAAGGGUAAUGUGUGCUCACAAUGGGAUUUGCAGGCAGCUUUGUUGCCUUCCUGCCUCAGAGGCAAUGACCAAAGCUCCAAGAUCAGCGUGGGGACACUCAUCAGUACGUGUUGUGGCUUUGUGAAUUUUGCUUCUGUGGCUUGGUUCCAGCAAGGCCACUGACACUGGAGCUGGCUUGUCCAAAAACCCAGCCAGGAGCCAAGACCCUACUUCUCAAACUGGCUCCUGCAUCAGAGGUUAUGUUUCUGUCUUCCUGCACACCAGCUCUUUCACCUCUGCUUGGAAGCUCUGAAAAGCUUCCCGGGAGGUUCUUGGGGCCCCUCUUUUGUUGCCAGCCCUGCCCUCACUUGUUCCUUUUUCCGUACCCUUUUUCAGGCUUCUGUUUAACAUGCACCUCUGCAAAAACCAGAGAAGAGCUUUCUCUUCACCUGACACUGGCUGCUCAUCUUUGCUCGGACUCUUUCCCCCACUGUUGCCUUUUCCUUCCCCAAAUUCCCUCCUUUAAUUUGCUUUUGCUUAUUUUGAAUACAAAGCUCUUCCAUCACAGUGUUUAUAGUUGGCAAAGCCUUGGACCUAUUGCUUAAUUCUCCUUCCUACAUCCCUACUUAACUGCCAGGGCUCCCUGUGCUCUUUCCCUGCUUCCAGAGCACCCAGGAUGGAUCCCAAUGCCUGUCCCCAGCUGUCUGCUGUGUGGUUCCCAUAUCCUGGCAGCCCAGUUCCCAAGCACUGCCCUGUCACGCUCACCAACUCCUCCUCUUUCUCAUCUCUGGAAACCUGCUUUUUUUUCUUUAUUUUUUUUUCCUGGAGCUGGCAGCAGAUGUCUUUGCCUAUCUUUUUAUUAGCUGUCCUUUCUUCUCUUUAGCCCCAGAGCAGCCUUGAGCAUGAUCUGUCUUCCCCAGUGCCCAGCAAGGGGUGGUGAAGGGUGCAGGUAUCCCCUGCUCAGUGCACUGCCACACUCUGGCACUGCUGCUCUCUGGCACCAGCCUCAUCAUCCUGACACCAAGUAAAUGUCAACAGCUUGCCUCGUGUCUGCUUCUCCAUAUCAGAUUUGCUCAUGGCUUCCCCUUGUCUCUCCCCAGAAUAGGCUGUGCUGCUCUAAAGCAUGGCUGCCCAGUUCCCAUCUU
rnacentral:lncRNA from 1 species